rnacentral:rRNA from 1 species
AGUGAACGCUGGCGGUAGGCCUAACACAUGCAAGUCGAACGGCAGCACAGUAAGAGCUUGCUCUUACGGGUGGCGAGUGGCGGACGGGUGAGGAAUACAUCGGAAUCUACUUUUUCGUGGGGGAUAACGUAGGGAAACUUACGCUAAUACCGCAUACGACCUACGGGUGAAAGCAGGGGAUCUUCGGACCUUGCGCGAUUGAAUGAGCCGAUGUCGGAUUAGCUAGUUGGCGGGGUAAAGGCCCACCAAGGCGACGAUCCGUAGCUGGUCUGAGAGGAUGAUCAGCCACACUGGAACUGAGACACGGUCCAGACUCCUACGGGAGGCAGCAGUGGGGAAUAUUGGACAAUGGGCGCAAGCCUGAUCCAGCCAUACCGAGUGGGUGACGAAGGCCUUCGGGUUGUAAAGCCCUUUUGUUGGGAAAGAAAAGCAGCAGGUUAAUACCCCGCUGUUCUGACGGUACCCAAAGAAUAAGCACCGGCUAACUUCGUG